CUAUGCAUUAGAAUUAGAAUCUAAAUA
rnacentral:tRNA from 1 species